AAAGAAAAGAAAAGAAAAAAGUAAAUAAAUGAUGAAGGGCCAUGCGGCCCUUCCUCAAACAAAAAUGAAAAGAGGCAGUAGCCUCUGCCUCUUUUCGUUCCAAUAGAAUAUUUCUCUCAUUUUCUUUGAUCUACGAAAAUUCAACCGUCCAAACUCAAAUUUGAUUUCGGAAACGUGAAGCCUGAUCUACGUUUCUACCGAUUGGUUUGAGGAUUUGUUGUAUGGAGCUUGUUAAACACUCUCCAAAUGUUGGAUUUACAUUUGGUGAAAUUUUUGUGAUGCAUUGCAUGGUGGUGUCUAGGGGACCUAGUGCUUAAUAUCCGCGCAGCCAAGACAUUGAUGCUUUGGUUGCAGGUUCUACGGAUAUAGAUAUUGACUCGUUCACCUAGCGUAUGGGAUGCUAUGAUUGGAGCACAUCGCGACAGUCAUAAAUCACGGACUUAUGGGUAGUCCGUAUUUUAGAUAUUUUAUUUAUGGCUCGUGUCCUACGUGGUUUACGUAUUUGCUGUAUUUUGAUAUGUAAUUAUAGUAAAAUGAUUUGUAAGCUUUAAUCAGUUAGACAUGUAAAUAGCUCUUGUUGUUGAUAACAGUUAUGUAUUAGAUGUAUUUCCGCUAUUGAUAUGUGUUUCGCUGCACAUUGAUAUUUUUAUUCCGCUGUGUUAGAUGUAACUCUGAAUAUCAGGUACAUAUUAUGGAACAUAUACGUUAUGUUGGCUAAGCGACAAGUAGUCGUGCCAUUGUGAAG